rnacentral:rRNA from 1 species
UACGAAGGGGGCUAGCGUUGCUCGGAAUCACUGGGCGUAAAGGGCGCGUAGGCGGCCAAUCAAGUCCGACGUGAAAUUCCUCGGCUCAACCGGGGGCCUGCGUCGGAUACUGCUUGGCUUGAGUCCCGGAGAGGGUAGUGGAAUUCCCAGUGUAGCGGUGAAAUGCGUAGAUACUGGGAGGAACACCGGUGGCGAAGGCGGCUACCUGGACGGGUACUGACGCUGAGGCGCGAAAGCUAGGGGAGCAAACAGG